rnacentral:piRNA from 1 species
UGGGAAAAUGUCCUCGGGAUCGGGGUGGG